AUGGGCCGCCGCCCCGCCCGGUGUUACUGGGAUCGCAAGAACAAGCCAUACCCAAAAUCUCACUUCUGACGAGGUGUUCCUGAUGCCAAGAUUCGCACCUUUGACCUGGGACGGAAGAAGGCAAAAGUAGAUGAGUUCCCACUCUGUGGCCACAUGGUGUCAGAUGAAUAUGAACAGCUGUCCUCCGAAGCCUUGGAGGCUGCCCAUAUUUGUGCCAACAAGUACCUGGUAAAGAGCUGUGGCAAAGAUGGUUUUCAUAUCCGAGUGAGGCUCCACCCCUUCCAUGUCAUUCCUUCCAUGUCAGGAAUGAGAGGUGCCUUUGGGAAGCCCCAGGGCACCAUGGCCAGGGUGCACAUUGGCCAAGUCAUCAUGUCAAUCCGCACCAAGCUGCAGAACAAGGAGCAUGUGAUUGAGGCUCUAUGCAGGGCCAAGUUCAAGUUCCCUGGCCGCCAGAAGAUCCAUAUCUCAAAAAAGUGGGGCUUUACCAAGUUUAACGCAAAUGAAUUUGAAGACAUGGUGGCUGAGAAGUAGCUCAUCCCAGAUGGCUGUGGGGUCAAAUACAUCCCCAAUCGCGGCCCCUGGACAAGUGGCGGGUCCUGCACUCAUGA